rnacentral:rRNA from 2 species
UGGGGAAUAUUGGGCAAUGGGGGAAACCCUGACCCAGCAACGCCGCGUGAGGGAAGAAGGUUUUCGGAUUGUAAACCUCUGUCGCAGGGGACGAAGAAUGACGGUACCCUGUAAGAAAGCCCCGGCUAACUACGUGCCAGCAGCCGCGGUAAUACGUAGGGGGCGAGCGUUGUCCGGAAUUACUGGGCGUAAAGGGUGCGUAGGCGGCGAACUAAGUUGGAUGUGAAACCCCCGGGCUUAACUUGGGGACUGCAUUCAAAACUGGUUUGCUAGAGUGCAGGAGAGGAAAGCGGAAUUCCUAGUGUAGCGGUGAAAUGCGUAGAUAUUAGGAGGAACACCAGUAGCGAAGGCGGCUCUCUGGACUGUAACUGACGCUGAGGCACGAAAGCGUGGGGAGCAAACAGG